AAAGAAGAUCUCGCAGGUCCGUCUGAGUUGACUUUAUCGGUCAGGUAUAAUCGACGGCCCACUUGCCCUGAUGCCACCAUGGGGGUGCAUUUUCCCACCCCGCCGCCCUCACGCCACAGGAAGAGCCACAGCCUUGGAAACACUAUGAUGUGGCAUUUCGGUGUGGUGGAGAGUAAAAGUGCGACGUUCCCCACAGAGAAACCACGUCA